GUUCUCUUAGCUUAACGGUAGAGCUGUGUUCUUCUAAAACAUUGAUUUAGGUUCGAAUCCUAAAGAGAACU